AGUUGGUGAUGAUGAUGAGUAGAAAAUGGUGAUGAUGAGCUUUUCCUUUUCUCCUCCAAGCCUUUCUUCCUUCUUUCUCUCUUCUUCUUUCUUCUCUUUUCCUCUUAUCUACUUUCCCCUUUCUUCUUUUCUUUCUUUCUGAUAACUCUUUCUUACUUACUACCUACUCUUCUUAUCCUUUUCUUUCUCUUUCUCUUACAACCACACAAAUAUAUAACAUAUACUUUAUAUAUAUUAUAAUAUUAGGUAGUAACAUAAAAUAUCUCAAUUGAUAUUUCAUCUUCCAGUACCAAUUGACCAAUUAUUAAUGUUACCAAAAAU
rnacentral:lncRNA from 1 species